UACACAAAUAGUUGAAUUAAUUGUUCACCGUUAAGAAUGCUUUAAUUGACUUUAAUUCAUCUGUUUGUCUGCAGAGAUACUUGCUGAUCAGCUGGAUUUUGUAAACAUGAAGGGGAGUCCAGAUAAAUGAAUGACACCGAAUUCUAUUCCAAAUAGGUUAGAUCACUUCAUACUGUUGUUUGCAGGUAUACUGUAUUAUGGAAGAGUGAUUCUUUUUACACCUUGUCACUUACCAUAUGUGUUUGGUUCUGAACUUGCAUUAAAAAAAUCUCUCACUUCAUCGAUAAAGUUUAGAGAUGGAGAUUUGAAUAGUAUACAGUAUACUCUACUGUAACAUUAUAUUACCAUAGUUUCUGGUAUCCCCCAAAUCUGACAAACUCUUUCUCUGUAUUGUAGAACUUGAAACCAUCAGAAGACAUUUAGGUCAGUGUGGAAUACUCUCCAGUCCAUCCACCUAGAUCUUUACAUGAAUACUAUUAUCUUCACAUACUGGGAUGUGACUCUAGACUCUGAUACAGCACAUCUCCAACUCAUCCUGUCUGAAGACGGGUAACGAGUUAGAUGUGGAGACGUAUGGCAGCAUCUCCAUGACAACCCAGAGAGGUUGGUACUUGUGUCAGUGUCCUGGGAAAGGAAGGUUUCUCCUCAGGGAGAUUCUACUAUGAGGUUCAGGUGAAGACAAGGUGGACUAUAGGAGUGGCCAGAGAGUCCAUCAACAGGAAGGGGAAGAUUACAAUGAGCCCUGAGAAUGGAUACAGGACACUGUGGAUUAGAAAUGGAGAGUGCAAGGCUCUCUCUGGCCACUCUGUCCCCCUCUCCCUGAGAGAGAAGCCCCAGAAGGUGGGGGUGUUUGUUGAUUAUGAGGAGGGUCAGGUCUCCUUCUAUAAUGUGGAGGCCAGGUCUCAUAUCCACUCUUUCACAGGCUGCACCUUCACUGAGAAACUUUAUCCAUAUUUUGGCCCGUCUUAUUGAAGGAGGUAAAAACUCAGCCCCACUGGUCAUCACUCCUGUAGAUAUCACUGACUUUCAUAUCAAACAUUGAAAUACUGUUAACAUUUGUGUGUGUGCAUGUCAGACUACCAAACUUGUGUGUGGGUGUGGAUAGGUGUGUGUGUGCGAGCAUAUUUGAGUUUGCGUACGUGUGUUUGUCUGCAAGUGCGUGAGUGUGUUACUCACAGUUUUGAAUUCAUUAUAGCAAACCAACAGAGAGGAAAUUCCCACCUUGUGUAAUUUCUACUGAAUGUCAUCCUAUGGUUUACAUGUUGUCUACAUAUAGCCCUAUUAUACAGUAUGUAAGCCUAAUGUAUUGACAUUUUCUGAACAUCAGUCUGGUCAUAUUAAACCUAUUUGAACUUAAAUCGGCUUCAUUCAAACUUGAAAUAAAAUCUAAAUCAAACUUG